rnacentral:rRNA from 1 species
UACGGAAGGGGCGAGCGUUGUUCGGAAUCAUUGGGCGUAGAGGGCGCGUAGGUGGUUCUGUAUGUCUACCGUGAAAGCGUACGGCUCAACCGUAUUUUGUCGGUAGAAACUGCAGGACUUGAGGCUGGGAGGGGCUGGUGGAAUUCCCUGUGUAGCGGUGAAAUGCGUAGAGAUGGGGGAGAACACUCGUGGCGAAGGCGGCCAGCUAGACCAGUUCUGACACUGAGGCGCGACAGCGUGGGGAGCAAACAGG